rnacentral:rRNA from 1 species
UACGGGGGGGGCGAGCGUUGUUCGGAAUCACUGGGCGUAAAGGGCGCGUAGGCGGCCCGCACAAGUCUGCGGUGAAAACCCCCGGCUUAACCGGGGGCCGGCCGUGGAAACUGUCGGGCUGGAGGCUGGGAGAGGGCAGCGGAAUUCCCGGUGUAGCGGUGAAAUGCGUAGAGAUCGGGAGGAACACCGGCGGCGAAGGCGGCUGCCUGGACCAGUCCUGACGCUGAGGCGCGAAAGCUAGGGGAGCGAACAGG